rnacentral:rRNA from 1 species
UACGUAGGCAGCGAGCGUUGUUCGGAGUUACUGGGCGUAAAGGGUGUGUAGGCGGUUGUUUAAGUUUGGUGUGAAAUCUCCCGGCUCAACUGGGAGGGUGCGCCGAAUACUGAAUGACUCGAGUGUGGGAGAGGUGAGUGGAAUUCCUGGUGUAGCGGUGAAAUGCGUAGAUAUCAGGAGGAACACCGGUGGUGUAGACGGCUCACUGGACCAUAGCUGACGCUGAGACACGAAAGCGUGGGUAGCAAACAGG